GAUGAACGCUGACAGAAUGCUUAACACAUGCAAGUCUACUUGAACUUCGGUUUGGGUGGCGGACGGGUGAGUAACGCGUAAAGAACUUGCCUCACAGAUAGGGACAACAUUUGGAAACGAAUGCUAAUACCUGAUAUUAUGAUUUUAGGGCAUCCUAGAAUUAUGAAAGCUAUAUGCACUGUGAGAGAGCUUUGCGUCCCAUUAGCUAGUUGGAGAGGUAACGGCUCACCAAGGCGAUGAUGGGUAGCCGGCCUGAGAGGGUAAUCGGCCACAAGGGGACCGAGACACGGCCCUUACUCCUACGGGAGGCAGCAGUGGGGAAUAUUGGACAAUGGACCAAGAGUCUGAUCCAGCAGUUCUGUGUGCACGAUGAAGUUUUUCGGAAUGUAAAGUGCUUUCAGUUGGGAAGAAAAAAAUGACGGUACCAACAGAAGAAGUGACGGCUAAAUACGUGCCAGCAGCCGCGGUAAUACGUAUGUCACAAGCGUUAUCCGGAUUUAUUGGGCGUAAAGCGCGUCUAGGUGGUUAUGUAAGUCUGAUGUGAAAAUGCAGGGCUCAACUCUGUAUUGCGUUGGAAACUGUGUAACUAGAGUACUGGAGAGGUAAGCGGAACUACAAGUGUAGAGGUGAAAUUUGUAGAUAUUUGUAGGAAUGCCGAUGGGGAAGCCAGCUUACUGGACAGAUACUGACGCUGAAGCGCGAAAGCGUGGGUAGCAAACAGG
rnacentral:rRNA from 1 species